ACGAACGCUGGCGGCGUGCUUAACACCUGCAAGUCGAGCGGAAAGGCCCUUCGGGGUACUCGCGCGGCGAACGGGUGAGUAACACGUGAGUAACCUGCCCCAGACUUUGGGAUAACCCUCGGAAACGGGGGCUAAUACCGGAUACGACACAGCUUCGCAUGGGGUCUGUGUGGAAAGUUUUUCGGUUUGGGAUGGGCUCGCGGCCUAUCAGCUUGUUGGUGGGGUGAUGGCCUACCAAGGAGACGACGGGUAGCCGGCCUGAGAGGGCGACCGGCCACACUGGGACUGAGACACGGCCCAGACUCCUACGGGAGGCAGGAGUGGGAAUAUUGCACAAUGGGCGGAAGCCUGAUGCAGCGACGCCGCGUGAGGGAUGACGGCCUUCGGGUUGUAAACCUCUUUCAGCAGGGACGAAGCGUAAGUGACGGUACCUGCAGAAGAAGCGCCGGCCAACUACGUG
rnacentral:rRNA from 1 species